GUGCCAGCCGCCGCGGUAAUACGUAGGGUGCGAGCGUUGUCCGGAAUUACUGGGCGUAAAGAGCUCGUAGGCGGUUUGUCGCGUCGUCUGUGAAAUUCCGCAGCUUAACUGUGGGCGUGCAGGCGAUACGGGCAGACUUGAGUACUGUAGGGGAGACUGGAAUUCCUGGUGUAGCGGUGGAAUGCGCAGAUAUCAGGAGGAACACCGGUGGCGAAGGCGGGUCUCUGGGCAGUAACUGACGCUGAGGAGCGAAAGCGUGGGUAGCGAACAGGAUUAGAUACCCUGGUAGUCCACGCCGUAAACGGUGGGUACUAGGUGUGGGCUCUUUCACGGGGUCCGUGCCGUAGCUAACGCAUUAAGUACCCCGCCUGGGGAGUACGGCCGCAAGGCUAAAACUCAAAUAAAUUGGCGG
rnacentral:rRNA from 1 species